rnacentral:rRNA from 1 species
AACGAACGCUGGCGGCAUGCCUAACACAUGCAAGUCGAACGAGACCUUCGGGUCUAGUGGCGCACGGGUGCGUAACGCGUGGGAACCUUCCCUUAGGUUCGGACUAACUCCCCGAAAGGGGUGCUAAUACCAGAUAAUGUCUUCGGACCAAAGAUUUAUCGCCUUUGGAUGGGCCCGCGUUGGAUUAGCUAGUUGGUAGGGUAAAAGCCUACCAAGGCGACGAUCCAUAGCUGGUCUGAGAGGAUGAUCAGCCACACUGGGACUGAGACACGGCCCAGACUCCUACGGGAGGCAGCAGUGGGGAAUAUUGGACAAUGGGCGAAAGCCUGAUCCAGCAAUGCCGCGUGAGUGAUGAAGGCCUUAGGGUUGUAAAGCUCUUUUACCCGGGAUGAUAAUGACAGUACCGGGAGAAUAAGCUCCGGCUAACUCCGUG